rnacentral:sRNA from 1 species
UAUUUGUGAGGAGUUGAGGUCCUCCGCAGUGGAAACAAGGAAACACUUGCGCCUGAUCUCA